UACGUAGGCAGCGAGCGUUGUUCGGAGGUUCUGGGAGCGUAAAGGGUGGUGGUAGGUCGGUUUGGUUUAAGUUUAGGUGUCGAAAUCUCCCGGCUCAACCUGGGAGGUGCGCCGAAUACUGAAUGACGUCGAGUGCGGAGAGGAGAGUGGAAUUCCGUGGAUGUAGCGGUGAAAUGCGUAGAGUAGUCAGGAGGAACACCGGUGGUGUAGACGGCAUCUCUGGACCGUAACUGACGCGAGCACACGAAAGACCGUGGGUAGCCAAACACGG
rnacentral:rRNA from 1 species